rnacentral:snoRNA from 1 species
ACCCUGUUACUUGGACAGGAUUUGUUCUAUAGGCUUGUACAAUUGUGUCCUUGAUUUCUAGGGAAACAUGAACACAAGUUGGUGGAUGAAUCAUGACCGUGAGAUCAGAGAGUGAUUAACGGCCAAGAUGAUCUCCAAAUUUUAAUUUCUACAAUAUUUUCUAAGUUGGAAUUAAUCCUAGAUAGUUUCAACUU